AGCAGCCGCGGUAAUUCCAGCUCCAAUAGCGUAUAUUAAAGUUGCUGCAGUUAAAAAGCUCGUAGUUGAAUUUCGGGACUAAUAUGUCGGUCGUGCCUCGGUACGUACUGGUUUAUUGGUUUCUCCUUUCUGAAGAACCAUGAUGUCAUUUAUUUGGUGUCGUGGGGAAUCAGGACUGUUACUUUGAAAAAAUUAGAGUGUUUAAAGCAGGCUCACGCUUGAAUACAUUAGCAUGGAAUAAUGAAAUAGGACGUUUGAUUCUAUUUUGUUGGUUUCUAGGAUCGACGUAAUGAUUAAUAGGGAUAGUUGGGGGCAUUAGUAUUCAAUUGUCAGAGGUGAAAUUCUUGGAUUUAUUGAAGACUAACUACUGCGAAAGCAUUUGCCAAGGAUGUUUUCAUUAAUCAAGAACGAAAGUUAGGGGAUCGAAGACGAUCAGAUACCGUCGUAGUCUUAACCAUAAACUAUGCCGACUAGGGGAUCGGAUGAUGUUAAUUUUUUUGAAUGACUCAUUCGGCGCCUU
rnacentral:misc_RNA from 1 species